rnacentral:rRNA from 1 species
UAGGGAAUCUUCCGCAAUGGACGCAAGUCUGACGGAGCAACGCCGCGUGAGUGAAGAAGGAUUUCGGUUCGUAAAACUCUGUUGUUAGAGAAGAACAGCGCAUAGAGUAACUGUUAUGCGUGUGACGGUAUCUAACCAGAAAGCCACGGCUAACUACGUGCCAGCAGCCGCGGUAAUACGUAGGUCCCGAGCGUUGUCCGGAUUUAUUGGGCGUAAAGCGAGCGCAGGCGGUUAGAAAAGUCUGAAGUGAAAGGCAGUGGCUCAACCAUUGUAGGCUUUGGAAACUGUUUAACUUGAGUGCAGAAGGGGGGAGUGGAAUUCCAUGUGUAGCGGUGAAAUGCGUAGAUAUAUGGAGGAACACCGGUGGCGAAAGCGGCUCUCUGGUCUGUAACUGACGCUGAGGCUCGAAAGCGUGGGGAGCGAACAGG